AAUGAACGCUGGCGGCGUGCCUAAUACACGCAAGUCGAGCGAACAGACGAGGAGCUUUCUCCUCUAACGUUAGCGACGGACGGGUGAGUAACACGUGGAUAACCUACCUAUAAUACUUGGGUGACUUCGGGGAACCAGAGCUACUACCACCUCAUAUGUUCAACCGCAUGAAUCAGUAGUUCAAGACAGUUUUGCUGUCACUUAUAGACGGAUCCGCGCCGCCUUAGCUAGUUGGUAAGGUAACGGCUUACCAAGGCAACGAACCGUAGCCGACCUGAGAGGGUGAUCGGCCACACUGGAACUGAGACACGGUCCAGACUCCUACGGGAGGCAGCAGUAGGGAAUAUUGCGCAAUGGGCGCAAGCCUGAUGGAGCAAUGCCGCGUGAGUGAUGAAGGUCUUCGGAUUGUAAAACUCUGUUAUUAGGGAAGAAAAACUGUGUAUGAAAAUCCGCACGUCUUGACGGUACCCAAACAGAAAGCACCGGCUAACUUCGUG
rnacentral:rRNA from 1 species